UGCACAAUAUGAAGUGUACAAGCCCAACAUCUUUGACAUAAAAAAAUAAGCAAACUAGCUGAUUUUGCUCCUAACAUCCAUAACUGAUGCAAUUUAAACACUUCUCUGAGAGCGUAUUUAAGAAAACAGGAAGCAGUGUACAAGUGUUACUCAUGCAAGCCUAUUUCAAGAGAUUCUUUGAACACAGUUAUUGAUAGGUUUUUCUUACAUAACAUAUGCAAAAUAUAAUUGAAAUUAAAUUAAGUGUCAGCAUGACACCAUUAAACAGCUCACAUUGCCAUCUUCUAAGACAACUACUCAGAGCAGUAACUUCAUAAUCAGGAAAUUACCCACUCUUUUCUUUCUUUCUUUUUUUUUUUUUUUUUUUUAAUAUUUUAGACAAAUAAAGGUGAUGCCCUUGCAAACCGUGUCCAGAACACAUUGGGAAAUUACGAUGAGAUGAAGGACCUGUUAACCAACCAUUCCAACCAGAGCCACCUUGUAGGAAUCCCAAAGAAUUCUGUCCCACAGACACCCAUUGACAAAAAUGAACAGAAUUUUUUCCCAGAACCAAGAAACAGGAUGAUCCCAUCUCAUCAGAUCAGUGGCCACUCAUCGACAUCAAUGCCUCCACCUUCUUCGUUGUCAUCUAAUUCUACUUUGCUACACAGUCACCAGAGCAGCAGGAAGUCGAGGACAGACUGGUCACGUGGUGGUCACAACUCUAGUGGGGCCCAGCCAAGCCAAUCCAGUAGUCAGCAGAGUCGGACAAAGCAUAGCUCUUCUCAUGAGCAGCCACAGGGCAGGUAUGAAGACCUCUAUAAUUGUCAGAGUGAGCAGCAUAAAAGCGGAGGAACUGAGGAAGCAAAUUCUAUGGCAGCAUCUUCACAUUCGAGGAGGCAUACUCAUUCAAAGUCAGCACCUGGAGAACAUACUUACAAAGAAAACAGUCAUUCGAAGUCACCCACAGAGCUUGAGUUUGUAGGUCAUGGUCCUGGAUCUCCACUCCCUUCCACUUCUUUGUUAUCUGCGAACAAUGGUCUUUCGACCCAGAAUUUCCCACCAGGACUUCACUGUAAAAACAGCAUGGUCCAGCAAAAGCCUACAGCAUACGUCAGGCCUAUGGACGGUCAGGACCAGGUGCCCAAUGACUCACCUGAACUGAAACCUCCGAUAGAAAUUGAGAGUGGAUAUGGAAAUCAGUCCUUUGGAACACUGCUGGAAGGAAAGGUGAACACACCUAGUUCGAAGAACAAAGUACCAAAGCUCAACAUUCCUCCUGUUAGUGAAGUUACUCUUCCCAAUGACUCCAGCUGUGUGGAAGAAAUAUUACGGGAGAUGACCCAUUCCUGGCCUCCUCCUCUUACUGCUAUUCACACUCCUGGCAAGGCUGAGCAGACCAAGUUUUCUAUCCCAAGCAAGGACUCCCAACACCUGACCUCAGGAUACAAUGUACAAAAGUGGAGUGAUCCAGCAGGGAAAGUUGCAACUAAGUCAGUGCCACAAAAGUCAAUGCUUGAGGAUGAUCUGAAACUCAGCAGUGAUGAAGAUGACAAUGAACAGGCUGCUGAAAAGACAAAGUUGAGAAACAUUCCUGUAAACAGCCUGCCGGUGCCGGCGGCACAUGCAACUGGCUUGGCCCAUUCCAGCGGUGGCUCCGGGAGCUCCAGCGAGUCCGAGAGCAGCUCCGAGUCCGACUCCGACAGCGAGAGCAGCUCCAGUGACAGCGAGUGCAAUGAGGAGUCACGCAGUGCCACGCCAGAGCCUGAACCUCCCUCAACAAACAAAUGGCAGCUGGAUAAAUGGCUAAAUAAAGUGAACCCCCACAACAAGACCAUCAUCAACAAUCAAAAUGAGCCUCACAGCGAGACCAGCUCCCAGGCCCAGAGCAACCAGCAGGCCGAAGGGCCAAACAAAGGGAAGCUCAACAGCAGCCUGCCCCCGACCGAUUCCAAAGACCGGGCGAUCCUUAGUCCCAUCCGAGAGAAAGCCAAACCGCGGGUUGCCCAGAAAACCCCAGAGGCAAAAAGCUCCAAGCAGAAGUCACCAGCUCAUAAUGAGCCCACUUCGCAAAGGACUACUGGGAAAAAGCAACCCAAAAAGGUAGAAAGGACUUCCAGUGUAGAAGAGUAUAACUGGCCCAAACCAAAUAAUACCAGCAACACUCCCAAAGAAAAAGACACACAGGAACCCCCUGAGCAGCCAAAGGUUCGAACUAAAGCAGCAGUUGGGAAGACCGCUCCAAGGAAAGAACCACGAACUAGCACAGGUCUCACUUCAGAGAAGAAAAAGUACAGAGGCCCCAGCAAAAUUGUCCCUAAGUCCCGGGAAUUCAUUGAAACAGAUUCAUCUACUUCUGACUCAAAUACAGACCAGGAGGAGAGCUUGCAGGCUAAGGUGUUGCCAGCUUGCACUGGGUCUGGCAAUGGCGCCAAAGUGAAGGACUCUGGCAGUAACAUCCUCAGCGUAAGUAGUUUAACUAGCAAUGGCAGCAACACAUCCAUUGACCAGACCAGCAAUGACUUGGAGGAGCAGCUCUUUUCUCCUAUCCCAAUCGUACAAAAUGAACUUCUGUCCCCACUGAGAGAAUAUGAAGAACUCAAAUCUCUGUGGGUGAAAAUAGACCUUAGCUUACUCUCUAGGAUACCUGGACAAGAGCCUUUUGAGACCACGUCUGUGAAAAGUGAACCGAGAGAGGCAAAUGUGAAACACAGGCGACCGUCUCGAGAGUCUCCUACCCCAGCAGCUGAAAAACCAUCCACAAAAUCCAAAAGGAAACACAAGCAAACAGAAAGCCUGGAUACCUUUGUUGAAAGCAAGAAGCAGCGCCUGGAGGACCCUUCAGCUUCAUGCCUGCUCCCACCUUGUAUCUCUCCGAUACCGAAUCACAGAUUAACCAGCACUAAAGAUAGCUCAGUGAAGAAGGUGGCAAAGAAAAGAGAAGAGAAGCUGUUUCCUCCUCCAUUAUCCCCCCUUUUGGAUGAGCCUGUGCACCGGCGGCACAGUAGUGACAACGGCUCCUUCAGCCAAGAGACCAACAUCACAAACACCUCUCAGACCAGCAGCUCUUCCUCCUCUGUUUCUAAACACAGAAAGAAUGAAAAUAAAUCCUCUUCUAACCCCAAAGGAAUCUGUGUAAGUAACCGACCUCAGAUGCUGGAAGAGGAAGAAUCUCACAAUACACCAACAGCCAACACUCUUCUUGACACCAGCCACCUAGAAACAGACAUCUGGUCUGCAAUGCCAACACUUUCCAAUGGGAAUUCUGAGCCCAGAAGACCCAAAAUAACAUUUGAUGAUGUGCUUCACAAUGCGGAUUAUUACAUGCAAGAGGCUAAGAAGCUAAAGCAUAAAGCAGAUGCAUUGCUGGAGAAGUUUGGCAAAGCAGUGAAUUAUGCUGAUGCUGCCCUCUCCUUCAUCGAGUGCGGGAAUGCUAUGGAGCGAGAUCCAUUAGAAGCUAAAUCUCCAUACACCAUGUACUCAGAGACUGUGGAACUCAUCAGGUAUGCAAUGAGACUCAAGAAUUUCACAGGCUCUUCUGCCACGGAAGGGGACAAGAAAUUAGCAGUUUUAUGCUACCGAUGCUUAUCGCUUCUCUACUUGAGAAUGUUUAAACUAAAGAAGGACCAUGCUAUGAAGUACUCCAGAUCUCUGAUGGAAUAUUUUAAGGUAAUCUUUAUUCUAUUUAAUUUAUAGAUAUGAAAUGAAAUUCAUACCAGCACUGAGAGCUCUCACAAGUAUAACUGCGUGACUUAAAAGUCCCACAUUUAACCUCUCCCCUGGGAAAUGCAGGCAGGAUGGCUGCCAGGGACUGGGGACAG
ensembl:lncRNA